UUCCGCUGAGCGCGCUCUUCGUACGUCAACUAAAAUUGCCGCUCGCGGUUUAUUGAAGCAUUUGGAAAUUGUUAUUAUUAUGAGAGGGACAAUUUAAACUGGAGUAAAAACGAUGUCAAUCAAUAUGAAAAACGAGAUCAAAAAAUACCUAUUUGCAAACGGACUAUGCUGGAGAAAAUAAUGUUUGAAUCAAAUCAUUGCUUCCGCAGCAAACUUAGAAGACAAAUAGGGAGCAAAGAGAACAUGAGCACCACGGUAGAAAGCUGUUUUUAACAUCAGUUCAGAAACUGAAGAAGCCCAAAGAAAAUAAUUAUGCCACUUGUUAAUUGUAAAUUAGUGUAUUUCUCUUGAACAAUGUCACAUUCACAUACCAGUGUAAUUUUGAAAUGGUUUUACAAUAUACUUAUAUAAAUAUACAGAUUAAAAAUAAAUAAAACACAACUGCAGAUA